GGGUUGUGAGGUUAAGCGACCAAGCGUACACGGUGGAUGCCCUGGCAGUCAGAGGCGAUGAAGGACGUGCUAAUCUGCGAAAAGCGCCGGUAAGGUGAUAUGAACCGUUAUAACCGGCGAUGUCCGAAUGGGGAAACCCAGUGUGACUCGUCACACUAUCAUUAACUGAAUCCAUAGGUUAAUGAGGCGAACCGGGGGAACUGAAACAUCUAAGUACCCCGAGGAAAAGAAAUCAACCGAGAUUCCCCCAGUAGCGGCGAGCGAACGGGGAGGAGCCCAGAGCCUGAAUCAGUAUGUGUGUUAGUGGAAGCGUCUGGAAAGGCGCGCGAUACAGGGUGACAGCCCCGUACACAAAAGCGCAUGUGCUGUGAGCUCGAUGAGUAGGGCGGGACACGUGGUAUCCUGUCUGAAUAUGGGGGGACCAUCCUCCAAGGCUAAAUACUCCUGACUGACCGAUAGUGAACCAGUACCGUGAGGGAAAGGCGAAAAGAACCCCGGCGAGGGGAGUGAAACAGAACCUGAAACCGUGUACGUACAAGCAGUGGGAGCAUGAGUUUACUCAUGUGACUGCGUACCUUUUGUAUAAUGGGUCAGCGACUUAUAUUCUGUAGCAAGGUUAACCG
rnacentral:rRNA from 2 species